rnacentral:rRNA from 1 species
GACGAACGCUGGCGGCGCGCUUAACACAUGCAAGUCGUGCGGUGUGGAAGGCAAGUCUUACGACAAGCCUUCGACACAGCGGCGAACGGGUGAGUAACACGUGAGUAGCUGUCCUAAGGAGGGGGAUAACGCCUGGAAACGGGUGCUAAUACCCCAUAUGCCUCGCAAGAGGUGAAAGUGUACUUGCUACAGCCUUAGGGUGUGCUCGCGGCCUAUCAGCUAGUUGGUGAGGUAACGGCUCACCAAGGCGACGACGGGUAGCCGGUCUGAGAGGAUGUACGGCCACACUGGGACUGAGAUACGGCCCAGACUCCUACGGGAGGCAGCAGUUGGGAAUCUUAGGCAAUGGACGAAAGUCUGACCUAGCGACGCCGCGUGAGGGAAGAAGGCCUUCGGGUUGUAAAGCUCUUUUGUCCGGAAAGAAAAGCGCCGGGUUAAUACCCUGGGAGGAUGACGGUACCAUCAGAAGAAGCACCGGCUAACUACGUG